rnacentral:rRNA from 1 species
UACGUAGGGUGCAAGCGUUGUCCGGAAUUAUCGGGCGUAAAGAGCUCGUAGGCGGUUUGUCGCGUCGAAUGUGAAAACCCGGGGCUCAACCCCGGGCCUGCAUUCGAUACGGGCAGACUAGAGUUCGGUAGGGGAGUCUGGAAUUCCUGGUGUAGCGGUGAAAUGCGCAGAUAUCAGGAGGAACGCCGGUGGCGAAGGCGGGACUCUGGGCCGAUACUGACGCUGAGGAGCGAAAGCGUGGGGAGCGAACAGG